UACGUAGGUGGCAAGCGUUGUCCGGAUUUAUUGGGUUUAAAGGGUGCGUAGGCGGCCACGUAAGUCAGUUGUGAAAUACCCCGGCUCAACCGGGGGGGUGCGAUUGAUACUGCGUGGCUUGAGUGGCAGCGAGGUUGGCGGAAUUGACGGUGUAGCGGUGAAAUGCAUAGAUAUCGUCAAGAACACCGAUAGCGAAGGCAGCCAACUAGGGGCCAACUGACGCUGAGGCACGAAAGUGCGGGGAUCAAACAGG
rnacentral:rRNA from 1 species